rnacentral:rRNA from 1 species
UACGUAGGUGGCGAGCGUUGUCCGGAUUUACUGGGCGUAAAGGGAGCGUAGGCGGACUUUUAAGUGAGAUGUGAAAUACCCGGGCUCAACUUGGGUGCUGCAUUUCAAACUGGAAGUCUAGAGUGCAGGAGAGGAGAAUGGAAUUCCUAGUGUAGCGGUGAAAUGCGUAGAUAUUAGGAGGAACACCAGUAGCGAAGGCGGCUCUCUGGACUGUAACUGACGCUGAGGCACGAAAACGUGGGGAGCAAACAGGAUUAGAUACCCUGGUA